rnacentral:misc_RNA from 1 species
UACGGAGGGUGCAAGCGUUAUCCGGAAUCAUUGGGUUUAAAGGGUCCGCAGGCGGGAAAAUAAGUCAGUGGUGAAAUCUUACAGCUUAACUGUGAAACUGCCAUUGAUACUGUUUUUCUUGAAUUCGAUCGAAGUGGGCGGAAUGUGACAUGUAGCGGUGAAAUGCUUAGAUAUGUCACAGAACACCGAUAGCGAAGGCAGCUCACUAGGUCUGGAUUGACGCUCAGGGACGAAAGCGUGGGGAGCAAACAGG